ACUCCAGGCCUGGGUGCAGGGCCGGGUUUUCUCUCUCUCUCUUCUCUGCAGGGUGUGACGGGCAGGUGCUUCUCAUCACAACUAAUUGGAGCCCUUCUUAAGGAGCAGAGGCCAGGAGGAGGGCGUCAGUUCUUUCUCGCUUCCAGCGUGAACCUUUCGCCUACGCCACAGAUACCUCAAGCCUGGAACCCUAGGGCAACUGAACGUUCCCUGAUCGUCUGCCAGUGCAAGCCCUCCUCCUAGAGCUCACCUGCCUGUCCACCCUCAAGCCAUCUGCACAAGAGAGCAUCUCAGGAUUUUCACCCGGACCCAGGACAUCACCCCUCCUGGUCCUUGGCAAGCCUCCGACUCAACCAGAAGACUAUCAAACCGGACACCACCAACACCUGAGACCCUGCACUCUAAACAAUAACCAGAUCAAUAAACCAGAUUCAACUAAA